CUGCCGACAACGCUGUUCAGUCAGUGUUAGGCAGAUGAGACCGCGACCGUGGGUCGCCAUAAAAUUGAUGGCCUCGGGCGUAAUAUGCUCGGCAGCCAUGAGCA
rnacentral:antisense_RNA from 1 species